rnacentral:rRNA from 1 species
UACGUAGGGGGCUAGCGUUGUCCGGAAUCAUUGGGCGUAAAGAGCGUGUAGGCGGCUUGGUAAGUCCGCUGUGAAAGUCCAGGGCUCAACCCUGGAAAGCCAGUGGAUACUGUCAAGCUAGAGUCCGGAAGAGGCGAGUGGAAUUCCGGGUGUAGUGGUGAAAUGCGUAGAGAUCCGGAGGAACACCAGUGGCGAAGGCGGCUCGCUGGGCUCUACCUGACGCUGAGGCGCGAAAGCGUGGGGAGCGAACCGG